rnacentral:tRNA from 1 species
GGUGACGUGUCCGAGUGGCUGAAGGAGCACGCCUGGAAAGUGUGUAAAGGGAAACCUUUCGAGAGUUCGAAUCUCUCCGUCACCGCCA